rnacentral:rRNA from 1 species
CACGUAGGGUGCGAGCGUUGUCCGGAAUUAUUGGGCGUAAAGAGCUCGUAGGCGGUGUGUCGCGUCGGCCGUGAAAACCUGCAGCUCAACUGCGAGCCUGCGGUCGAUACGGGCAGGCUAGAGUUCGGUAGGGGAGACUGGAAUUCCUGGUGUAGCGGUGAAAUGCGCAGAUAUCAGGAGGAACACCGAUGGCGAAGGCGGUUCUCUGGGCAUGUCCUGACGCUGAGGAGCGAAAGUGUGGGGAGCGAACAGG